AAUAUCAUCACACAGAUAAAAACAUAAAUACUUAUGCCAAAAUUUAAUUUGAAAAACGUCGAUGCUACACAAAACACAUUUCUUUACAUGAUCUUAAUUAUUACAUCACUUUUGCAUAAUUAAAACCUACUACAUCACUACAAGAUGUACAUCAGAAAAAUAAUAUUCUACAGGAAUGUUGCACACGUCGAACCUGUUUUUCCAAAAUUAAAUUUUGUUGAAAAAACACCGAAAUAAU
rnacentral:lncRNA from 1 species